UGAGACUGUGGUUCAGUGGCAGAGCAUCCGCCUUGCGUUCAGAAAGUCCCAGGUUCCAUCCUUGGCAUCUCCCAA
rnacentral:tRNA from 1 species